CUUAAUUUCUGAGAUCCCCAGCUGCAGUCUGGGCGGCAGGAUGAAGCUCCCACACCUGCCUUGCGCACGGUGCUGCAGGCCCCGCUCCGGCUGGCAUGGCUGCAAUGAGAGGAACGGUGCCUGCUGGAUUGCUCCCACUGCAGCUGCCCAGGCUGAGGCCCGAGGUGAACAAAGCACUUAAGCACGUGCUUAAAUUUAAGCGCAUGAGCAAACAAUCCCAGGGCAAAUACUUACACGCUCGAAUGCUUUGCCAGGUAGGUGCUGUUCUCGGCCGCUCACACCUGGCGGGAGGUGGUGCCAUUUUUUACAUGGCCACCGCUCUGACUGCAUCCAGGUGAGAAAGGGAACUUUCCACUGGCUGCGGGCCAACGGGCACUUCAGGUAUGUGUCAGGUCUUUAAAAAAAAAAAAAAAAAGAAAGAAUUUUUAAUCUUAUCUGUCUCAUUAUCACCCUGACAUUUGCUUUGGCUUCAAGUUUAAUUACCUCUUGAAUUGAACAAAGGUUCAGAUAGGGCUGAGAUAAUAAGAAGUCAGUGAAGCUGAUGUAUAUAGGAAACAGGGCCUCACCAAAGGUGUUAGUCCAUGCAGGCUGACCCCCAGUUAUGAGAAAGACAAGCUGAUAAGGGAGAAAGCUAUUAAUCAAUCAAUCAACCAGGAAACCUGGAGAUGUGUAAAGAGGUGUCUGAUGUUUGCAUCUUACAUGCCACCUGGGCUGGUACAAACACAGCAGACCCCACUUAGAUAAAUACCUGCGCAUCAGAGCAAAACCAGGCAAACAAAGGGAAAUCCGUGGGGAAAAAAAAAAAAGAAAGAGACAGAACAAACAAAGGAUAUAAGUAUAUUACCAUGAAAGGCAAUGUUCAGAGUAGAAAAGCGCACAAUAGAAAGGAUACAUUACCUGUCACCAGAAGCAUAGUGUGAGAUCUCCAUCAUGCUCCAGGUACUUUGCACACAAUAUAGGCAAGCCACAGUUUCAGCCCGGGAAACACCCCAGUCCAACCAGACAGAGCUUGGGAGGGGAAAGCAGGAACGGGCACUCUCCUAACAUCACAGGGGAGCGGCAAGGUUUGGGAAUAGAUUCAGGGAUGCCACAUGCAUGAGAGAUGGACAAGACUGGCUGCCGCACAUCUGUACCAUUGGGCUCUAUGGUCUAAGGACAGUUUUAUUCUAUAUUUUAGAGGCUUCCUGACUCAGCAGGUCACAAAGGAUGAGUUUUCAGGAGCUACUUCUUCUCAGCCAGCUUCUGGAGUGGGUUCCAGGUGGCUAAACAGAAGGGGAGGGUGACUGGGAACUACAACAGCAGAAGGUGGCAUAGCUCAAAGUAUGACACUAGCACCGCAGGCCAAGAUUGAACUUUCACAAAGAUCUCUUUGCUAAAGCUGACGAAGCAAUGGGUACAGUCCUCAGAAAAUCGGGGCUGAACUGUGACUCUGAGGUGCUACCCACAUGCAUCUUUCCCUCUAUGAUCUGGGCACAAAACAUUAUGUUCCAUUCAAAACCCACACCUGAAUGAGAAAAUGAAACGUUGAGGCCAUACUGCGGAAAAAUCCAACGGAGAUCUUUGCUUUGACUUUAUCAAACAAAUGGAAAAGAAACACAAUCUUGUCAAAACAAAACAGUAAUUUCAUUUUGAUUUCAUCAGCUUGACCCAUGUCGUAGCACGCUUUAGAGUCAAAACAGUAAGACUAUUAUUCCGUGACCCGUCAUAAUAUUUUGGCACAGCAAUUUAAUAGACAAAACUUGAAGGCUUUUGUACUAUAUUAUAAAAGUCAAAACAAACGUUUCAAUAAGCUGGAAAGCCUUGUGCCUUCUCCGAAAUGCUGUGAGAAUCGACACCUUCCCACAGGCAGUUUCCACAAUAUCGAAGCACCGCUUUCCCACGUAGGGGCACUCAAUGGCCAACAACAACCAGAUCUGAGCAGUGAGCCUCUCCAGCAGCUCCACAGGGAACCAGAGCAGUGGAGCCACAAUUCUUGCUGGUUUCUACGUUCCCAGAGACACACCGUGUGAGCAGUCCUUGCUUUUCACACCAACAGUAUAGGUUCAUCACAGAGCAGCUUUCAAUGGGCCAGUAAAGUUUAGGCAGAAAAACAUGCCCACCUGCACUGCUGUGAUAAUCCAGUCCAAGGCGUCUGUAUCUUCUUUAGGAAAACCAGACAGAGGAUAGAGCUGCUGAUAGAAGUUUUUCCCAAAUGGCUGUAAGCUGUUCUUGGAUGAGAAAGGAUAGCCCUUAGCAUCACUUACAGGGCAACUAGCAGAACUGAGAGAGAGAAAAGCAGAACCUGCUGGAUUGAGGCCCUUAUACUACCCAUUCCUUUCCCAUACAGCCUUGGAGUUGGCUUCUUCUGGUGCUGCAUGUAUGCUGUUGCCUGGAUAGCAGGGAUACCUAGAUGACCCACUCUUGUUCAAAGAUCUGUGUAGAUACACUGUAAAAAGCAUGUGGUUUAAAACAGUGUACAGUGGCAUGACUUUUACCGUUGUGCAACCUUUGACAGCAUGAGACGCUGACGUUUCUGUUGCUUGUGGACCUGUUGGAAGGGGGAGAUGUUCUACUGUAAGGAGGCAAGACUAAUAGGUGAGUGAAAUGCAGGAGGUAUCAGGAGAGAUGUUCACCUGCAAGAAUAACAGUAAAUAUUUAACAGGGCUCUCAGCAGACAGCAUGACACAGAAGCAUCAGUGGCAAUGACAAGUUCUACAGGAUUAUAUAAGACAUUUUAAGGAAAGACUGGGAUAAUUGUUGUUCAAAUAUAUCCCAUUUCAUCUUGCAGUUGAUAUGAGUUUUGAGAAAACCUCUCUACCCGUAGAGGAAGUUAAUGACUAUCCAAUCAAGGAAGUGCAUGAAGGUGAUAAUAGAAGACAGGUUUGCUAGGAAAAAUGAGUAGGUGACUAAGCCACGAUGGGCCUUUAGGACAAAGACAAGGUUGUGUUCAAUACUGCAGUAAAAUGAUGGUCAAAAGAAAUCACAAUGGAGAUCCCACUAGGGAUAAUUGACCUAGAUGGUCCAGCUGCAUUAAGGCAGAUGUGGCCAAAGGCAAAGGAAAGGAGGCUGUUUUCAAGAUGCAAGAUAACACAGACCUGAAUCAAUUUUUACUGUGUAAAGAAAGGAGGCUAAUUCCUGCCGAGGGAUGGGUGUGAGAUGUUGAGGGGGUUAUUUGGGGAGCUGUCCUCUUUCAUGAAAGAGAGGUAUCGAGGGUCCCUGGGAAAGUGGUACAGAAACAAGCUGAUCUGCCUUGCGAGUCAGAGGGGGACUGGUUACCUUCUUGCCAUCCCCUGCUACUUCCUACAGUCAUCACAAUUUAUUAGGUUCCUCAUAUCUGGCUGGAAGCUCACUUACUCUGGUAAUUAUUUUCUGCCACGUAGGAAAUACUUACGGAGAGCAUAUCAGAUAUAGACCAGAACAGAGUCAUCCUUACACUCAAAUGUUCUUCCAGCUUUCAGCAAACAAGCACCAAAGAGGUUUCUGAGUUAGGUACUGCAGCAAAUGUACUGUGGCAUCUACCCCCAUCUGCCUUCUGACAUUCACAGAUUGAACAAGUUGAUCUUAAAGGUCUUUUCCAACCUUAACAAUUCUAUGGUUCUAUGAUUCAGUGAUUCUAUGAUUCUCUGAAACUCCUUCCUUCUGUGAUUCCCCACAACAAGUUCCGUCUCAGGCCAAGAGCAUCUCAGAAUAUCUCUGAAGGCUGCACAGCUCUGCCCUACAGAAAGUCGUGGCUGUUUCCUAUGAUGCCAUCAUAGUGACAACUCCCUGUGGGGAAAGUAUUCACCUUGCCUUAGAAUUGCUGCAGGCAGGAGAGCUGGGGUGGAGGAUACUGGGUCCUUAGCUGUUCAUUCCCCUCUUCAUUUUUGAGAUGGGGUUUCCAUCUGGAGUCUUGUUUACCAGCACUUCAUUUUUUUUUUCUUGCUUUGUUUAUGAUGCUACAUGUGCUCUGCAGAAUGAAAUAGAGGAGAGGAGAGGAGAGGAGAGGAGAGGAGAGGAGAGGAGAGGAGAGGAGAGGAGAGGAGAGGAGAGGAGAGGAGAGGAGAGGAGAGGAGAGGAGAGGAGAGGAGAG
ensembl:lncRNA